ACUUUCUACACUUAAAGCACCGGACGACUGUUAUCCGCAGUCUGAUAUUUAACCAGCGUCGGUCCUGAAAAAAAUUCAUCUCACACACCAUGGCAUACAGAGCAACGAAAUCUGGUCUAGCGGCCGAGGCCCAAGGAAAGAUCCGCGGUAAAUAUGACCAGGGCGAGGCCCAGAAAGCUCUGACCUUCAUCAGUCAGAAGAUCGGGGAGGGCUUCAGUACAUCCGGGGACAUGGACAACGUUCCAUCCCAGAAAAGAAAUACGCCACGCCCCCCACGAUGUCAUUCAAACAGAUGGAGCUGAUCGGAUUGGCUAUUGACAAGAUGAAGCAGCUAGGAGUCCCCGACCACGAGAUGUUCCAGACAGUAGACUUGUACGAGGGUCAGAAUCUCCACCAGUGUGUUAUCGGAAUCGGUGCCCUGGCCAGAAAGAUGGGCGCAUAUGGACCCAAAGAAGCAGAUGCUAACAAGCGAGACUUCACAGAGGAACAGCUUAAAGCGGGACAGAAUAUUAUCGGUCUUCAAAUGGGAACAAACAAAGGUGCUAACCAAUCCGGAAUGAACAUAGGAAACACCCGACACAUAGUCGACUAAUUGACUUCUUAACUUCCUGUGCACGAUACGUAAUUUGCAACUCAGCAAUUUUUUAACUCCAGCAGAUCCGCUGAAUAUAUUUGGCUUUUUCGAGUAUGGUGACAGCAAAACAUGGAUAAAGGUGAUUUUAUUGCUCACGCAAGCGCAAAAAGUAUAAGUUUAACCAAAUAAUGCGUUUAAAUACCAUUUGUUUAUCGUGCUACAUGUAUUUAUUUUUUACAUGCAAUAAGAAGGGCAAUGACAGGGACCAAUUGAUGACGUCAGUCAUUUACGUCAUUUACCAUUUUGUUAUUUAGUAAUUUACAUUAUUGUUUACAUGGUUUAUAUAAUAAACUUUUUUAUACAUCAGC
rnacentral:misc_RNA from 1 species